rnacentral:rRNA from 1 species
ACGAACGCUGGCGGCGUGCUUAACACAUGCAAGUCGAACGGAAAGGCCCUGCUUUUGUGGGGUGCUCGAGUGGCGAACGGGUGAGUAACACGUGAGUAACCUGCCCUUGACUUUGGGAUAACUUCAGGAAACUGGGGCUAAUACCGGAUAGGAGCUCCUGCUGCAUGGUGGGGGUUGGAAAGUUUCGGCGGUUGGGGAUGGACUCGCGGCUUAUCAGCUUGUUGGUGGGGUAGUGGCUUACCAAGGCUUUGACGGGUAGCCGGCCUGAGAGGGUGACCGGCCACAUUGGGACUGAGAUACGGCCCAGACGCCUACGGGAGGCAGCAGUGGGGAAUAUUGCACAAUGGGCGGAAGCCGGAUGCAGCAACGCCGCGUGCGGGAUGACGGCCUUCGGGUUGUAAACCGCUUUCGCCUGUGACGAAGCGUGAGUGACGGUAAUGGGGAAAGAAGCACCGGCUAACUACGU